GUCUCCACAGUAUCCGGGUUCUGAUAAUUUACUUUAUCAUACUUUUUUACCGUUGUACUAACGUAUCCGAUUUGGGUGUGAGCAUUGAUAGUGAGAUCACCACGUUCUAUACCAAUUCCGAAACUGAACAUUUUCCUUUUCCGAUGGUUCUUGUCGUACUUCACUUCGUCUAUGGUCUCGGGUUUUGUGUGUAAACAUCCCAUUUUUAUUUGUUCCUCUUUUUAUUUUUCGCUGACUUUGGUUUUUCUCCCUUCACAGUUUUUGUUGACGGUCCCGCUUUGUCUUCCUUACACAACGUAACGUACUUGAUGUUGGUUGUCUUGGAUUUAACGUAACCGAGAUUCAGUCCGCCUUUACUGAGUUUUAUAUCGACGUUGACGGUUUUGUCCCUUUUUAAAUUUUCCUUAACUUUGAUUUUAUCGCUACUCAUUUCUUUUAUUAAUACGAAAAGAAAAUCCAUCUUGAAGUGAUAACCCCACCGAUAAACAUAGUGCCGAGAAGGUAAAUCAGGUUGUUCGAUGUUUUUGGUAGUAUGCUUACCGUGUCAGGAUGUGGUAUGGGGUUCCGGUCUUUGUGUGGUAUAGGGUUUUGGACUUUUACAUCCGGACUUUUCUUUAUCUCCUUAGGCUUUGAGUAGUUAACAUUCGCAUUGUUACCAAACUUCAUGUCGUUUGUUGCUAGUGUCAGUGUAUUGUUGUAUCCUGCUAUCUUUUCUUUAAGUAUAAUCAUAUUGGAUGGUAUUAAUAUUAAUCCAGGUGAUAUCGCCAUGUUAAGUACAACGUUAGUAUCCUUUAUUGCUUUCCUCAUAUUGGAAAUGGAUACCGAUACGUCGUCCUGCGCGACGGUGUCUUUGAAAAGUUUGUGAAAUACGUCCUGAGUCUGCAGGGACUUCGCUCCCUUACCAACGAUAGACCAGCGUGUUUGUGCUUGCGCACCCAAUACGCAAUAGACAUAACUUUCGACAGAUUGUUGAAGUAACUUUAAUCCUAAAGGUGUAAACCCGUCUGAUUUCUUGGCAAUGAACCAGGUGUAAUCCGUAUCGCUGUUGUUAGUGACACUGUCUACUUCCUGAUAGCUAAUUCCCAUUACACCACCGGUAUGGUAGUAUGAAUAUCUAUAGUUUCUAACCCUACUCUUAUCCGGAAGUCUGCUGUGCCAGAGACCUAUUUCCAUUUGUCCUCGGUGGAAUUUGUUAACCCAUGUUUUCUGUGUGGGCAUGUUUCUCUGCAGGGAUUUUAGCAUAUCUUUCGUUACAUAUUUUGUCAUUUUGCUCGGAUUUCUAAGAAACCUACGCAUGUGGUAGUAUAGGUGAUACCUAGCAAUACUCGUGAUUAUCUUUGAG
rnacentral:lncRNA from 1 species